AGAGUUUGAUUAUGGCUCAGAAUGAACGCUGGCGGCAUGGAUUAGGCAUGCAAGUCGAACGUGCUCCCUUCGGGGAGAAAGUGGCGAAAGGGUGAGUAACACGUGAGCAACCUGCCUCCGGAUCCGGAAUAAUCCAGGGAAACUUGGUCUAAAACCGGAUGAAGACAUUGGUCCGCAUGGUCUAAUGUUAAAAUAUUUAUAGUCCGGAGAGGGGCUCGCGGCCCAUUAGCUUGUUGGCGGGGUAAUGGCCCACCAAGGCUACGACGGGUAGGUGGUCUGAGAGGAUGGUCACCCACACUGGGACUGAGACACUGCCCAGACUCCUACGGGAGGCUGCAGUCGAGAAUCUUCCGCAAUGGGCGCCAAGCCUGACGGAGCGAUGCCGCGUGAGGGAUGAAGGCCUUCGGGUUGUAAACCUCUGUCAUCCGGGACGAAAACAAUGACGGUACCGGAAAAGGAAGCCACGGCUAACCACGUGCCAGCCGCCGC
rnacentral:rRNA from 1 species